UACAGAGGUCUCAAGCGUUGUUCGGAUUCAUUGGGCGUAAAGGGUGCGUAGGUGGCGCCGUAAGUCGGGUGUGAAAUUUCGGAGCUUAACUCCGAAACUGCAUUUGAUACUGCGGUGCUUGAGGACUGGAGAGGAGACUGGAAUUCACGGUGUAGCAGUGAAAUGCGUAGAUAUCGUGAGGAAGACCAGUGGCGAAGGCGGGUCUCUGGACAGUUCCUGACGCUGAGGCACGAAGGCCAGGGGAGCAAACGGG
rnacentral:rRNA from 1 species